GGAUCAAAUAAUCAGUCGUGCCUCCGGUACGUACUGGUUUUAUUGGUUCCUCCCUUCUGACGAACCAUGAUGUCAUUAAUUUGGUGUCAUGGGGAAUCAGGACUGUUACUUUGAAAAAAUUAGAGUGUUUAAAGCAGGCUCGCGCUUGAAUACAUUAGCAUGGAAUAAUGAAAUAGGAAGUUUAAUUCUAUUUUGUUGGUUUCUAGGAUUGACGUA
rnacentral:rRNA from 1 species